CUCAAUGAAGAUAGCUUGGAGGAAUUCAACCCAUGCUUGAGAACAAGAUGUUGGAAUAUCGAAAAAUUGGACAUUCCAUUGAAACACCCUAUCUUCCUCCAAGCCAUCAUCAUUUAGAUCAACAAUUACCUCCAUCCCAUUCUCUAAUUUCUUCUCCUCAUUACCGCCACCAAUCACUUGCUCCCUAAUCAUUCUACCAUUUAUGUACAUAAUAAAGGCACUAAAAUCUAUCAAUUGUGCGGUGGUGAGUCUAGAGGUUACACGUAUUAAAAGGGUGGGGAUUUGGAGUGCAAACAAAGAGAAGAGGUUUUGUUGUUAAGAAUCUUACCUACCAUAUGAUACAAUGCAAGCAUUCCUCUGCAGUACAUUGAUACAGAAUUGAGGAAAAUGAAGUUGUUCUUCUGUGUAUUACCACAUUAAAGGAUUCGCUCCGUUUGCUUUAUCACUGCAGUGUUCCAAUAAAAGAAGAAGAAGAGUGAUAUAUUUCAAUUUGGUUUGAAAAGUAAGGAUUGCAUCUUUGCUGUUGUUUUUUUUUUUUUUUGUCUUACUGUUGUUUGAUGAAACUGUUAAAACAUAGUUCAA